UACGUAGGGGGCAAGCGUUGUCCGGAAUCAUUGGGCGUAAAGAGCGUGUAGGCGGCUCGGUAAGUCCGCUCUGAAAGCCCGGGGCUCAACCCCGGGAGGCGGGCGGAUACUGUCGGGCUAGAGUCCGGAAGAGGCGAGUGGAAUUCCUGGUGUAGCGGUGAAAUGCGUAGAUAUCAUUUGGAACGCCAAUGGCGAAAGCAGGCAACUGGGGCUGUACCGACGCUGGUGGCGCGAAAGCUAGGGGAGCAAACGGG
rnacentral:rRNA from 1 species